rnacentral:lncRNA from 12 species
CCUUCGUUCCAUGGGGAUGGUCAGUAAUUUGUAGUCAGUUGUUUUGAUCAGUAGCAAUGUGGUCAGUUGGGUCGUCAGUGAGUGUGGUCAGUGGGAGUGUGGUCAGUGUGUGUGGUCAGUUGGGGUAUGGGCAGUUGGGUGGUCAGUCAGUUUGCUCUGCUGAGUGUCCCAUGAGGAUGGGUGCUAUAAAAGAGUGGGAUAACUGGUGCAGAGUUAGUUUGAGUUAGAAUCUGCUGGCUGUGCUGUGAGGAGGGAAGGGACAUGCAGUUGCGCAAGGGACACACAAGGUAAGAUGCUCUGUGAGGGUCAGACACGGUCAGGCGGCCAGGAAGGGGAUGGGUUGGGGUUAGCCAGUCAUGGAGAAGGAAGAAGGAAAUUUCAGAGAGAAGGAGGGAAGGAGUCAGUGCUGUGUUGAGCAGCCUGUAAGGAAAGGAGUCAGUAAUGUGUGGAGUUGCCUGAGAGAAGCCCACUGAGAAAAGGAACAAAAAGUUUUUAAUAAGAGACUGGUGACAGUGCCAGUCGUGUCCGUCUCAACAUAUUGGCAACAUCUAAG